CAAAAAAAAAAAAAAAAAAAAACUGUGCUUGGAUGUUCCUACUGAUAGCGCUCUCAUUGCUGUCACCUUGCUGGUCACUCCCUUGAUUCACUGAUUUUAGCACCUGGGUCUACCACUAUUCCUGCUGAUCAUUCCUGGCACCUUAACCUCCACAGAGACAAUUUAACAUGCUGAUUUCCAAGUGACUACGUUAGCCCCAAUUGUCUUUAUUUCCCAUCUCAUCUCAACUGUCAAGUCAUAGGGUCAUAUCCAAGGUUUCGUCAUCACCAAUAACUGCAAUACAGCCAAACAUCUGAUUUCAAAUAUCCUAUUCCUUGACAUAGGUGCCUUCUGUUUUCGCCCACUCCUGCAGUUUUCUGCCGUCAUCCAGCCUUCUCCCACUUCUCACUAACCGUUCCACCCUUGAGUCCUUAUGUCCUUUCUUGUCUAGUUUAGAUUCACAGUUCGACACUGUCGCCACGCCCUUGCAAACACCCUUAAUCCCUUUCUCCUUUUUUCUCUGUUGUAAUUGCCUAGAAUCCCAACUCUUAAAAAUCAUACAACUGAGCUGAGUAGACUCAGUUCUGAGUUAUGACCACAAAUCUCAGAUUAACAUUCAACAUAAGUAUCGUAUUACACCUCUGCAGUUAUGGUCUUCUUCCAGUAUCACUAAUCUACAUAUUCUCUUUCCUCAAGUCUCUACUGCCCAAUUCGUUCCUCACACCUUCCACAGACCACAGAUGAGAGCUUUUACAUUUCUUCCAACCAGCAAAUGCACUGACUUACUCCCACCCAGUCUGAUGUCUCCCACCUUCUUUCCUGAUGCAUUUGAUAAACCCUUUCUUGACCCCAGGUCCCACUUGACUCCCCUUUACAGCAAAGGUUCUGAAUUUUUAUUUUGUUUUAUUUUUGAGGUGAAGUUUAACUCAUUGCCCAGGCUGGAGUGCAGUGGUGUGAUCUCGGCUCACUGCAACCCCUGCCUCCCGGGUUAAAGCUAUUCUCCUGCCUCAGCCUCUCGAGUAACUGGGAAUAUAGACACGUGCCACCAUGCUGGGCUAAUUUUUGAAUUUUUAGUAGAGACAGGGAGGGUUUCACCAUGUUGACUGGGCUGGUCUCAAACUCCUGACCUCAGGCGAUCCACCGGCCUUGGCCUCCCAAAGUGCUGGGAUUACAGGAGUGAGUCACCACGUCCGGCCUUGAUGAGCAUUCUUUUUCUAUCCUUUCUUUUUCAACCUAUCUGUGCCUUUAGACAGUCACAUGUCUUUUACCAACAGGGAUGCAUUCUGAGAAAUGUAAGGUGAUUUCGUUGCUGUGUGAACACCCUAGGUUGUAUUUAAACUGAGUAUAGCCUACUAUACAACUCGGCUCUGUGGGGUGUAGUUUAGGCUACAACACAUCUAGGCUACAAACUUGUACAGCAUGUUACUGUACUGCAUAAUGUAGGCAAUUGUAACACAAUAGUAAGUAUUUGUGUAUCUAAAUAUAGAAAAGGUACAGUAAAAAUUUGGUAUUAUAAUCGUAUGGGGCCACCAUCAUAUAUGUGGUCUGUUUUUGACUGAAAUGAUGUCAUGUGGUGCAGGACUGCAUUUAAAAUGUGUCUCUUGUAAGUAACAUAUAGUUGAGUCUUGUUUUUUAAUAGUCUGAUAAUCUUUGUCACUUAACUGGAAUAUUCUAUUUACAUUUGCUGUAUUUUUAAACAUAACUAGCAUUUACUAAUUAUUAAUGUAAUUGAGUUUGCAUUUUUAUAAUUACUAAUGUAACGUAAUUACUAAUAUAAAUAGGUUUAAGUCCUGUCUUGUUGCUUGUUUUCUCUUUGUUCAUCUGCUCUUUAUUCCUUUAUUUCUCCUUUACCUGCCUUUCUUUGCAUUAAUCAAGUAUUUUUCAUCAUUACAUUUUGUCCUCCAUUAGCUUUUUUAUUUUUAUUUAUUAUUUUUAGGCACGGGGUCUUGCUCUGUCACCAAGGCUGGAGUGCAGUGGUGCUAUCAUAGCCCACUAUAACCUGGAGCCCCUGGACUCAAGCCAUCAUCCUGCCUCAGCUUCUUGAGUAGCUAGGACUACAGGUGUACACCACCACACCCAGCUACAUUAGCUUUAAAAAAAACUUUUAUUUUGAAAUAAUUUCAGACUUAUAGAAAAGUUGUAAGAAGAAUAUGAAGGAACUCCACAUACCCUUCACUCAGUUCCACUAUUUGUUCACAUUUCUCCACAUUGCUUUUUCACUGUGCUUUCUUCUGGACCACUGAGCCAUCGAGUUG
rnacentral:lncRNA from 10 species